rnacentral:rRNA from 1 species
GACGAACGCUGGCGGCGUGCUUAACACAUGCAAGUCGAACGGAAAGGCCCUGCUUUUGUUGGGUGCUCGAGUGGCGAACGGGUGAGUAACACGUGAGUAACCUGUCCUUGACUUUGGGAUAACUUCAGGAAACUGGGGCUAAUACCGGAUAUGAGCUCCUGCUGCAUGUGGGUGGUUGGAAAGUUUCGGCGGUUGGGGAUGGACUCGCGGCUUAUCAGCUUCUUGGUGGGGUAGUGGCGUACCAAGGCUUUGACGGGUAGCCGGCAUGAGAGGGUGACCGGGCACAUUGGGACUGAGAUACGGACCAGAAUGCUAGGGGAGGCAGCAGGGGGGAAUAUUGCACAAUGGGCGGAAGCCUGAUGCAGAAACGCCGCGUGCGGGAUGACGGCUUUCGGGUUGUAAACAGAUUUCGCAUGUGACGAAGCGUGAGUGACGGUAAUGGGUAAAGAAGCAACGGCUAACUACGUG